rnacentral:rRNA from 1 species
UACGAAGGGGGCUAGCGUUGUUCGGAUUUACUGGGCGUAAAGCGCACGUAGGCGGAUCUUUUAAGUCAGAGGUGAAAUCCCAAGGCUCAACCUUGGAACUGCCUUUGAUACUGGGGAUCUCGAGUUCGGGAGAGGUGAGUGGAACUGCGAGUGUAGAGGUGAAAUUCGUAGAUAUUCGCAAGAACACCAGUGGCGAAGGCGGCUCACUGGCCCGAUACUGACGCUGAGGUGCGAAAGCGUGGGGAGCAAACAGG